rnacentral:rRNA from 1 species
UACGAAGGGUGCAAGCGUUACUCGGAAUUACUGGGCGUAAAGCGUGCGUAGGUGGUUCGUUAAGUCUGAUGUGAAAGCCCUGGGCUCAGCCUGGGAAUGGCAUUGGAUACUGGCGAUCUAGAGUGCGGUAGAGGGCAGUGGAAUUCCCGGUGUAGCAGUGAAAUGCGUAGAGAUCGGGAGGAACAUCUGUGGCGAAGGCGACUGCCUGGACCAGCACUGACACUGAGGCACGAAAGCGUGGGGAGCAAACAGGAUUAGAAUCGAC